rnacentral:rRNA from 1 species
CCCUUAGAUGUCCUGGGCCGCACGCGCGCUACACUGAUGCAUUCAACGAGUAUUUCCUUGGCCGAGAGGCCUGGGCAAUCUUUUAAACCUGCAUCGUGAUAGGGAUAGAUUAUUGCAAUUAUUAAUCUUGAACGAGGAAUUCCUAGUAAACGCAAAUCAUCAAUUUGCAUUGAUUACGUCCCUGCCCUUUGUACAUACCGCCCGUCGCACCUACCGAUUGAAUGGUCCGGUGAAAUCUCGGGAUUGUGGCCAGUUCACUUUAUUGGGAGUUGGCUGCGAGAACUUGCUUAAACCUUAUCAUUUAGAGGAAGGUGAAGUCGUAACA